rnacentral:rRNA from 1 species
UACGAAGGGGGCUAGCGUUGCUCGGAAUCACUGGGCGUAAAGCGCACGUAGGCGGAUCUUUAAGUCAGGGGUGAAAUCCUGGAGCUCAACUCCAGAACUGCCUUUGAUACUGGGGAUCUCGAGUCCGGGAGAGGUGAGUGGAACUGCGAGUGUAGAGGUGAAAUUCGUAGAUAUUCGCAAGAACACCAGUGGCGAAGGCGGCUCACUGGCCCGGUACUGACGCUGAGGUGCGAAAGCGUGGGGAUCAAACAGG